UUAUAUAUAUGAGUCUGUGAUAAACAUCAAAGCAGAAGUUGUCUUUCUCUUUAUGUGGUGAUGGAGAAGCUUUGUGACGUAAAAUGUAACUCCAUUCCUGUUGCCUCUUGGAAACAAAAAAAAUCACAUAAACCCUCCCCCCAGCCCAAAACUCUGCUGAGAGAAAAACCAAGGAAAAAUUACAGCAAGAAACUCUGAAGCUAGAAGUGUAGCAAAAUGAUGGCAGCAGAGACAAAGUGUCAAAGCCGGACCGUGGUGUAUUCCACAUCAACAGACACUACUUGUUAACUUUUCAUCAGUGUGUACGUAAGGAAGAGGAGUGGAAACAUUGCCAACCUCAUUUUGGUUCCUGUGGCUGUUUAGAGCAACCUACUGACCGGACGAAGCUCUGUGUCCUCCUCCAGUAAAACUCUGGCCCUGUUGAAA